UUGAAAGGGAAACGAUUGAAGUCAGUCGUACCGACGAGAAAUCAGCUUCUUGAGUGCGAUUUUGUGGGUAGUGAAGAGCUUAACGGCCUCCUUAUUUGCAAAUUUGUAUUCUAAUGGUGUAUUUUUUCGUAUGGUAGGUCAACAUCAAUUUUGAUCGUUAUAAAAUAAUUGGUGGAAUGUAGCUUCGGUCUCGUAUUGAAGUGUUAUAGCCCUUGAUAGAUGUAAUGAUCGAGAUUGAGGAUUGCAACGAAUACCUUUCGAGGCUAUUCGCCUGAUCUCUGGAAGUCACUUUGGUAUCGAAAGCGUGCUUUCGGUAUUGAGGAUGGUGACCAAAAGGUUAGAGCGUGAUUAAAUUCGUUAAGGAUGUUGACGUA
rnacentral:rRNA from 1 species